rnacentral:rRNA from 1 species
GAUGAACGCUAGCUACAGGCUUAACACAUGCAAGUCGAGGGGUAACGAGAGGAAAGCUUGCUUUCCUUGUCGACGACCGGCGCACGGGUAAGUAACGCGUAUCCAACCUGCCCCCAACUAAGGAAUAACCUUGCGAAAGUAAGACUAAUACCUUAUAAUUUCCUCAGAUGACAUCUGACGAGGAAUAAAGAUUUAUCGGUUGUGGAUGGGGAUGCGUCUGAUUAGCUUGUUGGCGGGGUAACGGCCCACCAAGGCAACGAUCAGUAGGGGUUCCGAGAGGAAGGUCCCCCACAUUGGAACUGAGACACGGUCCAAACUCCUACGGGAGGCAGCAGUGAGGAAUAUUGGUCAAUGGGCGGAAGCCUGAACCAGCCAAGUAGCGUGCAGGAUGACGGCCCUAUGGGUUGUAAACUGCUUUUAUACAGGAAUAAAGUUAGCCACGUGUGGUUAUUUGUAGGUACUGUAUGAAUAAGGACCGGCUAAUUCCGUGCCAGCCGCCGCGGUAA